rnacentral:lncRNA from 1 species
UGGAGAUCAGCCCAUUUUGCUUUGCUGUUUAUCACAAAUUGUUAAUUUUUCCUUGGAUGACCUUGAAAGAAGAUGUGUGACCAUUCUAGUGACUGAAAGCCACAGAUACCGGAAGACUUUGCUGCAGAGAAGAACGUUGCCUACAGGUCUUGCAGAAUGUUGUGUUGGUGGCAUACAGCACUGGUGUGCCCUUAACUGUCCCUGUGGAUAGCGUUUGUGUUGUUUUGAAAAUAAAGUUUUGCAUCUGGCAUGGUUUUUUUUUUCC